rnacentral:lncRNA from 10 species
GGCCACAGGCACAGUCCCAGGAGACAUGCUCAUGAGCUGUCAUCUCAGUCCAGCCGCUGACUCACCCCACAGGCGGGCACCCAGGGAGCAGGUGCUGCAGCUGUUGCGUCAUUAGACCUCUGAGGCUGUAAGAGCUGACCAUCUUCUGGCUGAUGGAGUAACUUGCCCACAGGUGGGGAUGGGAGGGAUGAAGGCCCAGCCUCUCUUGUGUGUCUGGGAUGAGAGGGACAGUAUCCUCACCUUGGUCUAGACUUUGUCGUUCAAAAGGCAGUUACUGGGCACAUGCUCGUCCAAGAUAAGAGAAAACCAAGAAAGAGGAGUCUCAGCAGCGAAACCAGUGAAGCAGAGCAGGACAGAAGGGAUUGUCAGGCUGGCAGCCAUGCAGGGGACCCAGGGAGCCAUCAGUCCAGGUGGAAGCUGGGAGACCAGGGUUUCCCGGAGGCAUUCCUCCAGGAAAAACAUGAACUGAAUUUUUUUUUUGAUAUAUAAGCUGUGCGGAAAAUAGAAUUGAGAAAGCGUUUUACAAGUAAAUUGUGGCUGUUGAAAAUUAGCCAGAGGUGCAUCGGGGAAAAUCCAAAGUAAUUAUAAGCUUGAAAACAUACACAUGUACGAGACAGAAAUGCAAUCUUAUUUCUUGAUGUGGCUCAGUGGAAAAUAUUUACAUAAUCAUAGUAUUGACUUCCUGAAGACCCAGAUAAACAACAUUGGGAAGAUGAAGAAAGAGAAGCGAAUGUUUGUUGGGGCAACAGGGUGGUAAUUUGGGGGAGUAUUAAAGAGCUGUAUUGGCUUCCUGUUGCUUCUGUAACUCAUUACCGGACAUUCAGUGGCUUAAGACAACACAACUGUGACCUUGCAGUUCUGGAGUUCAGAAGUCUGAAAUGAGUCUUCACUGUGCUAUAAUCAAAGGCGUCGGCAGGGCUGUUGUCUUUCUGGAAGCUCUGAGGAGAAUCUUCCUUGCCCUUUCCAGCUUCCAGAGGCCGCCACAUUCCUCGGCUUUGGCCCCUUCCUCUGUCUUCACAGUGAAUUGUUCCAACCUCUGCUUCCACGGCGACCUCUCUUUUUUCUGACUCCACUCUCAUCCCUCCCUUUCAUAUGGACGCUUAUGAUGAUAUUGGACCAGGCUGAAUAAUCCCUCCCUUUCAUAUGGAUCCUUAUGAUUAUAUUGGACCAGGCUGGAUAAUCCCUCCCUUUCAUGUGGACCCUUAUGAUGAUAUUGGACCAGGCUGGAUAAUCCAGGAAAAUCUCCCCAUCUCAAGAUGCUUACUUGAAUCACACCUGCAAAGUCCCUUCUGGCAUGGAAAGUGACAUGUUCACAGGAUCCCAUGUUCCCAGGAUUAGGACAUGGACAUCUUUAGUGGGGAGAAGCCAUGGUUUUGCAGAUCCCCAAGGUUAAUGUGCUCAAUGGAGGAUCAGGAUCUAGCCCUAUGAGCAUGUUAUUAACGAGCAUAGAAGUGAAUUCCCAAAAGCAUCACUAAGUGCACUGGUGGUCGUAAUCUCAUGGCUAUGAGCAGCGUGGGGUAGGCAGAGCCAGGGGCUAGUUGUUUCCAUUAUAAGCCUUGUGAUAUUUUAGACCAUGUGUAUCUAAUGCUGUGAUAAAGAGUAAAAUGUCCAGUCAGGUGCAGUGGCUCAAGCCUGUAAUCCCACCACUUUGGGAGCCCAAGGCGGGAGAACCACUUGUGUACAGGAGUUCCUGGCCAGCCUCGGCAACAUAGUUAGACCCUGUCUCUAUGAGAAAUAGAAGAUGAGCCAAGCGUGAUGGUGUGCCUAUAGUCCCACCGACUUGUGGGGCUGAGGUAGGAGAUUGCUUGAGCCCAGGUAGUUGAGACUGCAGUGAACCAUGAUUGUGCCACUGCACUCAGCCUGGGUGACAGUUAAGACCCUGUCUCAAAAAAAAAAAGAAAAAAGAAUAAAAAGAGUAAAAUGCUAUCGUUAGGCCCAACUCAUACCUAAUCAAUCAAAACGUAACUUAAAUUCUGGAGAUCUAGUGUCCUGCGUGGUGACUGCAAUGAACAAUACUGUGUUGUACACGAAAUUUGCCAAGAGGUCAGAUCUUGAGUGUUCUCAUCACAUACCAAAAAGGUAACUGUGAGGCGAUGGAUAUGUUAAUUAGCAUAAUUGUGUACAUGUAUUUCAAAUAAUCAAGUAGUACACCUUAAAUACAUACCUUUUAAUUUGUCAAUUCUGC